rnacentral:rRNA from 1 species
GGGACACGUGGUAUCCUGUCUGAAUAUGGGGGGACCAUCCUCCAAGGCUAAAUACUCCUGACUGACCGAUAGUGAACCAGUACCGUGAGGGAAAGGCGAAAAGAACCCCGGCGAGGGGAGUGAAAAAGAACCUGAAACCGUGUACGUACAAGCAGUGGGAGCACGCUUAGGCGUGUGACUGCGUACCUUUUGUAUAAUGGGUCAGCGACUUAUAUUCUGUAGCAAGGUUAACCGAAUAGGGGAGCCGAAGGGAAACCGAGUCUUAACUGGGCGUUAAGUUGCAGGGUAUAGACCCGAAACCCGGUGAUCUAGCCAUGGGCAGGUUGAAGGUUGGGUAACACUAACUGGAGGACCGAACCGACUAAUGUUGAAAAAUUAGCGGAUGACUUGUGGCUGGGGGUGAAAGGCCAAUCAAACCGGGAGAUAGCUGGUUCUCCCCGAAAGCUAUUUAGGUAGCGCCUCGUGAAUUCAUC